GCCUCUGUGGAUGAAUGGAAAUCGCCUUGAUCUUGUAUGAUGUAGAGGUUUGGAUCUUGCGAGGAGAUGUGGGUUCAAAUCCCACCGGAGGCC